UGGGGAAUCUUGGACAAUGGGCGAAAGCCUGAUGCAGCAACGCCGCGUGCGGGAAGACAGCCCUAGGGUUGUAAACCGCUUUCAGCAGGGAAGAAACUGACGGUACCUGCAGAAGAAGAUGCGGCCAACUACGUGCCAGCAGCCGCGGUGACACGUAGGCAUCAAGCGUUAUCCGGAUUUAUUGGGCGUAAAGAGCUCGUAGGCGGUUCGGUAAGUCGGGUGUGAAAACUCUGGGCUCAACCCAGAGAGGCCACUCGAUACUGCUGUGACUAGAGUGCGGUAGGGGAGCGGGGAAUUCCUGGUGUAGCGGUGAAAUGCGCAGAUAUCAGGAGGAACACCAGUGGCGAAGGCGCCUACCUGGACCGAUACUGACGCUGAGGUGCGAAAAGCGUGGGGAGCAAAACAGGAUUAGAUACCCUGGUAGUCCACGCUGUAAACGAUGGGUGCUCGGUGUUGCGGUGUUGACCCCUGCAAUGCCUUAGCUAACGCGUUAAGUGACCCGCCUGGGAGUACGGUCGC
rnacentral:rRNA from 1 species